rnacentral:lncRNA from 1 species
GUUGUGUUUUAAAAAUUAUGAGUUUACCUAGCUAUAGUUCUCACCCUCUCGUAGUUUGGAUUAAUCUCACUAUCACAAGUUCACAUGUCAACAAGUGAAGGCUCUCCUAGUUUUGAUUGCUUCGACACUCAAGAUUAAACUAGGUUACUUGCCUCGCCUCAAAGGUAUAGUUUCUUCCACCAAAUGUCCAAGGGCUUUUCUUCUUGUUAUUGUCUCUUUUUGUUUUUCUCACUUUUCUCUGGUUUUCUG